UUUAUGUUUGAACAGGAUUAGGUUCUGGUCAAUCAUCAAAUUCUGGUUCCCCUAAAGCCGAAAGAUUAUCAGGCGAUCUAAAACUUAAACAAACUGUUGAACAACUAAAGUUUGAAAACCGAGAACUACGAGAAUAUAUUGAUAAACUGGUAGUAUAUCUAAUGGAUAAGUAUCCGGACGCGCUUGAGUCUUCGAAAAUGUAUAGAUAAUUUUACUUGUUUAGUUGACUUGGUGUAUUGUGAAAUUAGUGUUAUAAAACUUAGGAAUUAAAUUAUUGU
rnacentral:lncRNA from 1 species